rnacentral:rRNA from 1 species
CACGUAGGGACCAAGCGUUGUCCGGAUCCAUUGGGCGUAAAGAGCUCGUAGGCGGCUCAGUAAGUCGGGUGUGAAACCUCCAGGCUCAACCUGGAGACGCCACCCGAUACUGCUGUGGCUAGAGUCCAGUAGGGGAGCGUGGAAUUCCUGGUGUAGCGGUGAAAUGCGCAGAUAUCAGGAGGAACACCAGCGGCGAAGGCGGCGCUCUGGGCUGGAACUGACGCUGAGGAGCGAAAGCGUGGGGAGCGAACAGG